UAAGGACUGAGACAUCGCCACCCUGUUGCUGUUGGUGAUCUUGGCAAGAGGAGUAUCCCAGCUGAUUCCAGACAGAAGCCAGACUGCAAUGGGAGAUACAUGUGUGCAGAUUUAGGCUCCUGGGAGGGAGCCAGCCAAAAGGGAGAGAUAGAAGUUACAGGAGAGAGAGGUUCUGUGUCUGGUUUUAUUUCUGCUCAGACUGUCUGUCCUCCUGUCUGCCGGUGGGGGAAGCACAAAGGGGUUCAGACGAGGCUGUUGCUCCAGUAUUCACAAACUGCUGACAUUCUUUCCUAUGAAGAUAACUAAAUCACCAAACUUGAUGAAAUUUCAUGAAAGAGAUGUUCUGUGGAGUCUAUGAAUACAACUAUUAAUUUUAAAG